rnacentral:lncRNA from 1 species
GGGGCGACAACACUUCUAUGACAGGGUGGCGGGGGCUGCAGGCACAUCCUCGGGGGGGUGGUGAGCGCCGGCAAUGGGCCGCGAGCUGGCAUCAAUCCAACAUGGAUUCCAUGCUGGGUUUCCCAUACAGCACCUUGGACCUCUAUAACCUGCUGCUUGCCCCUGCUUGUACCCGCACGCAUGUCCGGACCUGUAACCCCGCGACCGGUGCACAUCCGCAGCACGCGGCGCGCCCGUCCUGGCCACGACGCCCACCACCUGCAUAGCCGCUGCGCCUACAUCCGCCAAUGCAAAAUAUUGCACGCACGUCAAACUGCGCUGGACUCGCCGGCGCGGCCACCCAGUCAUCCAUGCUCCCUCCUUCCAACUUUCAACAAAUCCGCUGCGACCUGUUGUACUGUGUUAUAACCACGUUUUCUGAAUAUGCGUGGCCUGUGCAAACGACGGGGCAGUACCGGGUGAACGUCCGUGGGAAAGUCGGGAUGUACAAAAAUACUCCGGCAAUGGACAUACUGUAUACACAGCUCCCUGCAAUAAGAUGCCCCGAUAAACAGUGACCGAUAAUUUUUAUAACUAUACUUAUAACUACUGUUUCUAACCUCGAAAGGAGCGGGUUAUCUUAUAACACGCUGCCGCCACCGACCUCGUAAACUAAUACCCCUUUUUACCACACAUUUUCAUGGCUCAAGCGGGAAUAAGCCAUGCAUGGUUGUCCACGACUGCAGCCAUUGUAUGCUGGUAUUGUAGCAACAUAGGCGUGCUCCUGCUAAAUAAGUAUUUGCUGUCAAGUACAGGAUUUCAUAACCCAGCUUUCUUAACGCUAGCACACAUGUUGGCUUGCGCGGCAAUCGGAUCAAUUCUUGCUGGCCUUAAAUGGACUCCGUCGAAGCUGAUUCGGAGUAGGCAGCAGUUCCUUACGGUUGUUCUCCUUUCGGCUGUCUUUUGCAUGACUGUGGUCCUCGGCAACGUUUCCUUGGCCUUCAUCCCAGUUUCUUUUACCCAAACCAUAGG